GAAUAUUUGGUAGAAGUGGGGUCUGCUCAGAGACCAGGCGUCAAACUAUUGUGAGAAUCUCAUGAUAAUAUUGUCUGCCUAAUGACCAGAGGUGACUGAUCAUUAGGGGCAGGUGGGGCUGUGUAGCAGCAGCUACAUGACUUAAUUCCCAAAGUCAUCAGAAAGUUUGCCCAGAAGAAGAACCGCCGUGCCACCUUUCUCUUCAAGUGAGCCCUCAGCCUUGGUGCUCAAACUUGGCCGCCAACCAACACUGACCUGCCACUAACCUCUGUGCUGCAGUCCGUCCCAGCAGCAAACGGCCUCGUCACCCUUUAGGCUGUGGAACAGAGGGACCCUGUGGAUGUCCCCUCACCAUCCUCCACACUUCGGUGGAUCUACCAGCCGCUCCUUGUGGUGUCACUCGUCUGACAGCUAGCAAUCAACCCUUUUCCAUUCCAUGAUUCAUCUGUCUUGGUCGUUUGUCAUACAAAGCUCCCUUGUGGAUGUAAGGAAACGACUGUGAAUUCUGAGCACGCUGCACCAUCAGGAUCUUUUUCCAGAGUUACACUGCACUUCAGGUUAAAUAAUGACGUUUCCAAUAACUGGUUGAAGUGUUUUUACAUCAAUUCGUACCAUACACGAUGGCUUCCUAUGCAGAAAGCAAUGACUUGAAUCAUACUGCAGUGUUCAAUAUUUGCAAACAGAAUGUUCAAAUACACGUUAUCCUUUGUUUCCUGUGAAGUGUAUGAUUGCUGGUUCUCUUUAAUCUUGUGGAAUAAACGACAGUCAACAGACC
ensembl:lncRNA